GGCAGCAUGGCCCAGUAGAUAGAGUACAGGUCUGGGAGCCAGAAGGACCUGGGUUCUAAUCCCAGCUCUGCCA
rnacentral:tRNA from 1 species